UGGUGUGUGUUAGUAAUGUUGGAUUCCGCGGUUGGUGCCGGUUAGGAGGGGGAUGGGCGGCACUACGAAUCUUGGAGGAGCUGAGAGAGAAUCAGAACCUACAACUUCACAUAGAGUAGUACAUCUCCCUUUAUAAACACCGGUUAUAAAGCAUGUAAACAACGUUUCAAACGGAUUUAAACACCGGGCCCCAAAUUAGAGAUACCAAGGGAUCGCUAGUCCAGAUAUAGGACUGUAAAUACAACCCCCCCCCCACACACAUGGGACAUUGAGAAGGGAAUCGGCACACAGGACCUAGGAGCGCGGUUUCCUGGUUACAAUUUUAAGGAAAUACCGUGGCUCUGGGAAGGGCCUUAUUCUACGAUUUUCUCUGGAUGUUGGAUUGUUGUUAAACUUAGAAGAGAAAAAAACAAGUGGAUAUUCGGUUUGAACUGGGGUGGAGAGGCCUGAAAAGGUUGCCCAACAAUGGUUUGCUGAUUUAAGAGACAAUGGUGGCUAGGAGCCCAUCAAGUUACAAUGAAUCAUCCUAAAUGAGAAGCAUAGCCCACUUGAUGGCAGGAUGGCCUUUACCUUUAUGGCUUCUUGUCUUGGGAUCCAUUCAGCCAUCUUCUAGAGGUUUCCUCAUGUCCGUGAAGUGCUGGUCGCAGCACUGCGGCUCCCCACCCCAGGAGUGGUCAGUUACUGUAAUUUGGACCCCUUGAUCCCCUCCCCUCCCCUCCCUCCCUCCCUCCCUCCCCCCCCCCCA